GACGAACCGAGCGAACGUUGUUCGGAAUCACUGGGCUUAAAGGGAGCGUAGGCGGGCUAUCAAGUCUGGGGUGAAAUCCCACGGCUUACCCGUGGAACUGCUUCGCAUACUGUUUGGCUCGAGGAUGGUAGAGGAGAGCGGAACUCCUGGUGGAGCGGUGAAAUGCGUAGAUAUCAGGAGGAACACCGGUGGCGAAGGCGGCUCUCUGGUCCAUUUCUGACGCUGAGGUGCGAAAGCUAGGGUAGCGAACGGG
rnacentral:rRNA from 1 species